rnacentral:rRNA from 1 species
UACGUAGGGUGCAAGCGUUUAAUCGGAAUUACUGGGCGUAAAGCGUGCGCAGGCGGCUUUGCAAGACAGAUGUGAAAUCCCCGGGCUUAACCUGGGAACUGCAUUUGUGACUGCAUGGCUAGAGUGCGGCAGAGGGGGAUGGAAUUCCGCGUGUAGCAGUGAAAUGCGUAGAUAUGCGGAGGAACACCGAUGGCGAAGGCAAUCCCCUGGGCCUGCACUGACGCUCAUGCACGAAAGCGUGGGGAGCAAACAGG